rnacentral:rRNA from 1 species
CCUACGGGGGGCAGCAGUGGGGAAUAUUGGGCAAUGGGCGCAAGCCUGACCCAGCAACGCCGCGUGAAGGAAGAAGGCUUUCGGGUUGUAAACUUCUUUUCUGAGGGACGAAGAAAGUGACGGUACCUCAGGAAUAAGCCACGGCUAACUACGGGCCAGCAGCCGUGGAAAUCCGUAGGGGGCAAGCGUUAACCGGAGUUAUUGGGUGUAAAGGGCGUGUAGGCGGGAAAGCAAGCCAGAGGUGAAAACCCAGGGCUCAACCCUGAGCCUGCCUUUGAAACUGUUUUUCUUGAGUGCUGGAGAGGCAAUCGGAAUUCCGUGUGUAGCGGUGAAAUGCGUAGAUAUACGGAGGAACACCAGUGGCGAAGGCGGAUUGCUGGACAGUAACUGACGCUGAGGCGCGAAAGCGUGGGGAGCAAACAGGAUUAGAUACCCCUGUAGUC